GGAAAACUGUAGUCUAUGCACAAAAAGUGAAGACAAUAGCUCAUUUAGAUCUGUGCGAAGAACAGCUCUUCCCCACGACACUGACAGCAUUAUAAGUCUUUUCCCUUCUAUUUAAUGCUAUGAAGGAAAAGGCAGUUGGGGUAUUUAGACUGGAGGCAGACCUACAUCCGAAGAGAAUCAGGCACAAUGUUCCAGCCACGCGCUAUGGGCAGACACCCCACUCUGGAGAGUCCUUCAAUCUCCUGAGCAGCCCUGCAGCCUCUCUGGUGGCUAACCUGGCCAGCAUCUCCAUCUGCUCCCCGCCAUGGACAAUGAAUGAAACUGCUAAUGGAAGCACCCUGAGACGCAUGCCACGCCUGGGAGGCAGAGGGACAGUGCCUGACAAAGCCUGCAAAAAGGGACUGUCACAUCAAGAAGGGAGUGAAGCAGUGACGGAGAGAAGCAUGCCAGAAUGGGGAGGACGCUGCUGGUGACCAUCACCUGGCCUGCGUGAGAGGCCGGGUAGACUGAGCUGGCCUUUCAGGAGGACGGAGACUCGAGGCCAAGGCCCGUGCCAGGCUCCAUGGCUGGCCUCCUCUGAAGGUCUGUCCUGGACACCCUGCAGCUUCAGCUUUCACCCCAGGGACAAGGAUCUUUGCCCUGCCUGAACUGGAGUUUGACUCUGACUCAUGUCAGGAGAGAAAAGCACAGACUGGCUCUGUCUUCAGAGUCCAUCCUGGGACUCUGGGCUGCUAAGCCACGCUCUCAAGAACUCAGUUCCGUCCACUGUGAGGGGCCUGGCUGGGCUGCUUGACAGACAAGGACCCCGCCAGCUCCCCAUCCUGGGAUGCCUCAGAAGCUUGCCUGAGGCACAAUGGAGGUAAUUGACCAUUUCACUAGUGGCACAGAAACAAGGGGCAAUGUGAACACAGGAAUACCAGGUAAACUAAGACUACAGUACAGUUAUGUAAGAUUAGCUGGGGCUCAACACUAAUCUCCUCCCCUCCCACACCCUGCAAAGACCACAGCCACCUGCUUCUCCAACACAACUGAAACUACACGGAAAGAAACGCCUCAGAAGUCCUCCUAAACUUAAACUUUCACCCGAGUGAAAGCACAGGCUUAGGUCUAGAUACUUUCAAUGCCUUGAUCUUAGCUAUAAGAUCUAAAUUUUGGCCAGGUGCGGUGGCUCACGCUUGUAAUCCCAGCACUUUGGGAGGCCGAAGCAGGUGGAUCACUGGAGGUUGGGAGUUCAAGACCAGCCCGACCAACAUGAAGAAACCCUGUCUCUACUAAAAAUAUAAAACUAGCCAGGUGUGGUGGCAUAUGUCUGUAAUCCCAGCUACUUGGGAGACUGAGGCAGGAUAAUCGCUUGAACCUGGGAGGCAGAGGUUGCAGUGAGCCAAGAUCACACCAUUGCACUCCAGCUUGGGCAACAAGAGCAAAACUGUCUCAAAAAAAAAAAAAAAAAUCUAAGUUUUGCACAGUAUCACAAUAGACAAACCUGGAAUAGUAAAACAUGACAACGUAUAUUCUCAUCAGGGACCACCUUCUAUGGGACAUCUGACCAUUGGAACCUGCCCUACCCUCAAUCCAUCAUCAGAUAACCUUACCUGCUUAAUAGCUAUAAGGCCCUGUGUUAAAUGCUGCUAAAAAUACAGAAAUGACAAUGACUAGGUCUCCCCGGUGCCCAGAGCUUAGAGUGUGGCUGCCGUGCCUAUCUGAGAAAGCCAGAUAUGCGCUCAUAAAAAGCUGCAUGCCGGACAGAGGCUGGGAUGCUCGUCAAAAUAUUUAACAGCCUGUACGGCCAGGCACCAACCAGUCAGAAAAGACACAGGCCAGUGCACCAGAACGGGGCUCAGAAGUUCCUCUGCUGCCCCAGGUACUAACCCGUUAGUUUCUGAAUUAAGGGUGGGGCACCUGGGGUAGCAGCUAUUCUCUACCUAGGAUGGGAGCAUUUCGACGUUUUAACCACCAGUAUGGUCGCUGAUGCAUUCCAACUGAAUGACAGCGUAGCUGAGGAAGGGGAAAGUCACUCUGGGAAAAGUGCCUCUGAGGAGCAGGGCUCUGUGGGACAAUGGCACUCCAAAUAGGCCGAGUUGGGCAUUGUACCAUUUAGAUGUACAUUUUUUUUGGAGACAGAUUCUCACUCUAUACCCCAGGCUGGAGUGCAGUGGUGCCAUCUCAGCUCACUACAACCUCUGCCUCCGGGGCUCAGGUGAUUCUCCUGCCUCAGCCUCCUGAGUAGCUGUGAUUACAGGCGUGCACCAGCACAGCCAGCUAAGUUCUAUACUUUUAGUGGAGUCAGGGUUUCACCAUGUUGGCCAGGCUGGUCUCGAAGUCCUGACCUCAGGUAAGCCACCCACCUCGGCCUCCCAAAGAGCUGCAAUGAUGUGAGCUACCACACCUGGCCUAGAUGUACUCAACACAAACUUUAUCCCAACAAAAGCACAGGCUUGGGUCAAGAGAUUUUCAAUGUCGUGAUCUUAGUUGUAAGAUCAAGGAUACCAUCAGACCAGGACACCGGAAGUCAGUCGGGCGGUUGACAGCACCCAUGUUCAAUUUCUUGGGUAUACAGACCCAUUAACCCUGUGCCACCAGAGCUCGCUGUAUGUGAAGCCUCAGCAUACGGUGGUUUAGGGAGGUGUAGAGACAGCAGGUAGGAACCAAGCUGCAGAAGCAUCAGAGAGGCAAGGUGAAUAAAGACCUGGGGCCUUACGGAGGGGAGCCUGGAAGGCCUCUGCUCAGGACGGAUUUGAUCAGAGCCAUGCUUUAGAAAAAGCAACCCUCCCCCUCUGCACCCUCCCCCACUUCCUAACAAGGGCCUUCACUGUUUAAAUUGCAGGUGACCAUUCUGGAUCAGAAUGGCAAUACUGAGAAGGCAAGGAGGAAAUGCGUGUGCGUUGGGCAAUACUGCACAGAGUAGGAAUAAGCAGAACUGCUGACCGAAUGGACUUCUAGGCAGAAAUCAAGGGUGACACAGAGGUCUGGCCACUCUCUGAACAGGCACAGGGCCCAGAAACAAAGUCCACAUGUGUGCCAUGGCCAGAGGGGCAGCCAGGCUGUGUCACCUUGGCCAAGUCACCCCUCUCCCUGCCCUGCAAUCACUGCACAGGUGCAACGAAUGAGUAAGGCUUAUUUCAGUGUUGCUCUGAAGUCCCUCAGAGGUGGCAAGGGAGACAGAGGAAGCCCUUCAACCACUGCAGUCCUGCUUUUAUGCAUUUCAUCUCUCAGCAUUCUGCCUAAAAUCCCACUGGGAAAAAGAGACCCAUAACUACUAGGCAACGCUACUGUGCCUUCGAACCCUGAAAAGUCACAAUUUUAUUCUCUUGUCUAUUGAAAGUGCUGAAUAUCAUCUAGAAUACACUGGGAAGGUCUGUUUCUGAUCAAAAGUACCCCAAGAUACACAGCAGAAAGCAAACCUAUGUGCACAGUGAGGCCAGUCUCCUACAUUAGUGAGCGCUGCUCCACCAUCUGCUGAGCCUGGGUCCCGUUCCCAGCUGGAAUGUGCUCUCUUUCCCCAGCAAACUGGAUGCAUUAAUCACAUAUCUGAAUUGUUCUCCAGCCUUACAAGACCAACGUCUAGGGCAGGUAAAGCCUUUUAUUUUUUAAUUCUCUAGAAAGUCACAGCUACAUAGCAAGUGAUCUUAUCACUCUCUGAGCCAAGCCGAAUCAAAAUCUGUGGUCUCUUUCAGCACUCUAGUGGUAUAAAGAGAUAAUUCAAGGCAGAAUGUAAAUGAGAUGGGGGGAAAUCAAGGAGCAGUGACACUGAAGCAGACCCAGCUCUGUCCUUCCUGUCUUACUGACAUCUGCAUAGGCUGGAACUUACUUUAAUUUUUUUAGUAGACGGAGUCUCACUCUGUCUCCCAGACUGGAUCGCUGCAACCUUUGCCUCCCCAGUUCAAGUGACCCUCCUGCCUCAGCUGGGACUACAGGCACGUGCCACCAAGCCUGGUUAAUUUUUGUAUUGAGACGGGGUUUCACCAUGUUGGCCAGGCUGCUCUGGAACUCCUGACCUCAGGUAAUCCACCCACCUUGGCCUCCCAAAGUGGUGGGAUUACAGGCGUGAGCCACUGCGCCAGGCCUAAUCUGGAACUUUCUAGGCCCUCCUGGACUGAGAAACUUCUAGCUCUGGAGGGGCAGUAGAGCCAAGGAAUUGGGAGCACUGACCCUGAAGCCAGACUGCCUACGUUGAAAUUCUGGUUUGAGCAACUUAAUCUGUGCACCUGUCCCUUUAUCUUGCAUACAGUAAGGACGGCAGCAGGACCGACCACACAGGGUUGCUGGGGGUACUAAUGAGCUAACACAUCCGAAGCCUAGCAGCGCCUGGCUCUGUCGGCUGCUAUCAUUACUGCUCCGUUCCUAAGCCUGGCCGUGUCCAGGCUAUGGCCACCACCUCGGUCAGUUACCACAGGUCUGCUUUGUGGUACACACCUGAGCCUGGAGGGAGAAACUAGCUCCUGAAGCGCUUUCUCAGGACUCCGCGUAACAAAGGAAUAAACAGUAUUCCGAGUAUUUCAGUCCUCCUUAUAGGGACAUUUCUCCCACAGCACACCUCAGUGGAAAGAGCCCAUUUCUACAGGAGCCAGAGCUGUGCUAAUGGAUAGAUUCUACAUUUAUCGGAAGUCCGCUCCAGAAUGAGGAAAUGGUUUACAAGCAGGCCACGUUUCCUUCUCUGAUGCCCUAACUUCUUUCCAUUUAUCUUCCAAACCAUGAAAUCCCUAUUUCAACCGCUUCUGAGUAGAAUACACGAAUCCAAAAGUCCAUUAAACCUAUUCAUUCGUAAAAACACUUUUCAAAUUAUUGUUAAUUUCAAGAGUUUUAAAGCAGAACAUGCUUCUCUUUUUAAAAAAAAAAAAAAAAAGAUGUAUUUAAACAUGUAAUAAAGGUUGGUAAACUGUUCUGAAAAUUAUCCAGUAGGGAAAAGUAACUAAUACGGCCCAUACAGCAUAUAACGCAGUCUUCUUCAGAACUUAUUUUUGAAGAAUAUGUAACAACGUGGAAAAAAGCCCACAAUAUAGCUUAGGUGAUUAAAGUUAAUUGUCAAAAUUUUAUUCUUUAACUAACAAUGUAUGCUUAAAAUUUCUUUAUUGUAUAGGGAAGAAAAGACUGGAAGGAAAUAUAUCAAAAUGUUAAAAGAA